rnacentral:lncRNA from 1 species
GAGACUCUAGGCAACAGAGAUGGCCUUAUCGCUGCAAGAGACACGGCGGAGCUGCUCAGCAUUCCUCUUCUGGCUGUGGCCCUGCUGUUUCACUGCUGGUGCUGGUGAAAUUCAGGAGAUGGUUUCUGGGGAGAUAAAACCAGGAGCCCUCCCACUGGUGGUCCAGGAAGUCCUCUCAUUCCAUCUGCGCUGCCCUGCCGUGGUGGAGCUGUAGAUGUUUUAUGGAAUUAUGCAUUCUAAAGGGUGCAGGGGGAGACUUGGUAUAUUCUGAGAUCCUGACUAUUCAGUUGGGUAAAAAAGGAGAAGGCAAUACCUCCAGGACAUUUCUAGAGGAUAAAAUGUCUCAGUUGUUUACUCUGACAUGAAGACACAUCCCCCAGAUAACUCAGCUGGAAAGAUUAGCUCUAAGGAUGAAGAC